CUUGAAAUAAAGUUUUUGUACUGUUUAAAAAAAAAAUCCUCUCUCUCGUAGGAAUUAAUUCCAGGAAACCUGAAAUAAUUCCAGGUGAACAAAUUCCCAGACAUGGAAGCCCAGGAGUUAUCCAAAAAGAUUUGCAAGAUUUUUUGUUGUUCUCAGUACUUGCUGAACUACAUUUGAUCAGACUUUCCUAGAACUUUCACUCUUGGCCAAAGAUCCCAUCUGGAAAACGUCAGCCAGAAAGGAAAAAGGGUCUGAGUGAGAAAUUGACAUCUUGGCAAAGAAAUAGCUGGAAAUUCCCAUUUCCCAGACCUGCUGUCUCCUGAACCCCAACUGGAAAUGAUUCUCAAAGAGGAGGAAAAGAUAUAAAAAUGAAGAACAGAGGACACAAAUCACCUUUCUCCCCUCAUCUCUACUUGAA